AGCGAACGCUGGCGGCAGGCUUAACACAUGCAAGUCGAGCGGGCAUCCUUGUGGUGUCCGCGGCAGACGGGUGAGUAACGCGUGGGAACGUGCCCUUCGGUUCGGAAUAACUCAGGGAAACUUGAGCUAAUACCGGAUACGUGCGAGAGCAGAAAGGUUUAUCUGCCGAAGGAUCGACCCGCGUCUGAUUAGCUAGUUGGUGAGGUUAUGGCUCACCAAGGCGACGAUCAGUAGCUGGUCUGAGAGGAUGAUCAGACACACUGGGACGGAGACACGGCCCAGACUCCUACGGGAGGCAGCAAUGGGGGAUAUUGGACAAUGGGGGCAACCAUGAUCGAGCCAUGCCGCGUGAGUGAUGACGGCCUUAGGGUUGUAAAGCGCUUUUCUCCGGGACGAUAAUGACGGUACCGGAGGAAUAAGCCCCGGCUAACUUCGUG
rnacentral:rRNA from 1 species